GAUGAACGCUAGCGGCAGGCCUAAUACAUGCAAGUCGGACGGUAAAUGGCCCUUCGGGGCUAUGAGAGUGGCGCACGGGUGCGUAACGCGUAUGCAACCUACCCAAUGCUGGCGGAUAGCCCGGAGAAAUUCGGAUUAAGCCGUCAUGAGGAGCGGAGAGGGCAUCCUUUCUGUUUCAAAUAUUCAUAGGCGUUGGAUGGGGAUGCGUGACAUUAGAUAGUAGGCGGGGUAACGGCCCACCUAGUCUACGAUGUCUAGGGGUUCUGAGAGGAAGGUCCCCCACACUGGAACUGAGACACGGUCCAGACUCCUACGGGAGGCAGCAGUGAGGAAUAUUGGUCAAUGGUCGGAAGACUGAACCAGCCAAGUAGCGUGAAGGAUGAAGGUUCUAUGGAUUGUAAACUUCUUUUAUACGGGAAUAAAACACCUUACGUGUAGGGUCUUGUAUGUACCGUAUGAAUAAGCAUCGGCUAACUCCGUG
rnacentral:rRNA from 1 species